UACGAAGGGGGCUAGCGUUGUUCGGAAUCACUGGGCGUAAAGGGCGCGUAGGCGGCUUUAUAAGUCGGGGGUGAAAGCCUGUGGCUCAACCACAGAAUUGCCUUCGAUACUGUAGAGCUUGAGACCGGAAGAGGUAAGUGGAACUGCGAGUGUAGAGGUGAAAUUCGUAGAUAUUCGCAAGGACACCAGUGGCGAAGGCGGCUUACUGGUCCGGUUCUGACGCUGAGGCGCGAAAGCGUGGGGAGCAAACAGG
rnacentral:rRNA from 1 species